AUGGAAUUUUUCAUCCAAAUCAUCUCUCUAUCUAUUCUUCUUUUUCAAUGGCGCGCCGUUGGACUUCUAACAGCGCUCAAAUUCUCCAGGUACGAAACCUUCUUGUUCGUCACUAUAUUCCCUGCCUUAUUCCCUUGUUUCAGAUCUGAAUCCAAGUUUAAAUCAUCUGAAUUCCCAAACGAUUCCUUCUUCAUCUCCGUCUCGUUUUGAUCCUGUCCCCACCCCAUGAAAUCCAACAGCGUCAUUGAAGCCGGCGUUUCUGGGCCGUUGUUCAACUCUUCUAAUUUUUCCAUUGGGGGUUCGCUCGUCGGCUUCCUCCUUGUUGCUAUUUGUGAUGGGUUCUGAGUUAACCCAUCGGCGUGGAGUACGUCUUCAAUUCGUGACAUCACUGUGAAGGCUAAGCUUUCCAGUAUUCUGGAGUAGCUUUCUAAAACGGCGUGCCCCACGUCCUGCAGUUCACCCAAGACGGCAAGAUCGUUGUCUUUGCUGCUCAACUUUGGCUUUGAAGCCCUUUCAGAUCGAUUGGAUGGUGCCAGUGGUGGCCCAGCUUGGUGUUUCUCAGAAGAGUUGUGAACCGGUGUCGAUCCCUGGCUUCUCGACGUCGACAAAUCAUCUUCAUUGACAGAGUCAAAUACAUUGGCACUCUCCACACUCAAGCUCUUGGCAUGUCUGCCUGUAUUCUCAUGAUUUCCUCUGAAAAGAAAGAAUCUGGACCUGAAACCUUCGUGCUCUUGCUCCAUAGCACGAACCAUUCUUAGUUUCUUGACGAAACGUUUGACGGAAAACACAAGAGACAACAAACCGGCAACUGGGUGGUGAUGAUUAAUUAUGAAUGCCUAGUGAAUUUCAGACAGCAUAGAGAGAAAAUGAAGAGAAUUGAGAAAAAAAGGAGGAAGAGAAGCAAGCAGGAUUUAGAGAAGAACUAGAAGAAAAAAAAAAGGUGGAUUAAGAUAUUCUUGUUUUGCUUCUCUUUACCUCCUUUGAACUGAAGAAUAAGGAAAGUUUUUUGUUUUAUUUACUCUCUCUCUCUAGCUAGUUUUACUUUUUGGUUAUUGGAUUGAUCUUUCCUUUUCUCCUUCUAUUUUUGAGAAGGAGAAUGAUACAAUGUGAGGUUCAUCUUAAGAAAAGGAUGAUUUGGUUAGACAAAGAAAGAGAAAGAAAUGUUUUGAACUUA